CCCACCACCCACCUCCCCUCUCCCUCCUCCCACAGACCCCUCCCUAAAACAACGGCUCCUCAAUGGCUCAAUCCUUACACAUUCCUAUCAUGCUUCAUCAUCACCUACUCUCAACUUCCAGGAACGUACACUACACCGCCUAAUAAUAGCCAUCCAAACUGAAAAAGGUCAAAGCCAGGUUUGAUCUCAACUAAUAGGAGGAUGAAGCCGCCAUGAGGUUGACCACAGGCUCCUCACAACCCAAGUCUUAAAAAGGGAAAACAACCCAUAGACAAGCGCCCACAGAUUGUUGAUGUGUUUGCUUGUUUAAAAGAAACACCCUUUUACCUGUGAUUUGGUUCUCUCUCUCUCUCUCUCUCUCUCUCUCUCUCUAUCUGUAGUCAUUCAUCAAUGGCACCUACUGCAGCAAUGCUCAUACUCUCUCAGCACCACCAUGGCACCUCAACUUGCCAGCCACCUCUGCCUCCACCACCAGCUUCUUCUCCCACAAGGGCUUAUCUUCUCAAAUGGUUUUCAUCUGAAAGCUCAGAGCCUAAACUGUCUCUGGACAUGGCAGAUACUGCUAUUUCUACUACUUCUUCUUCCUCCACAUCUGCUUCCUGGGUGGCCAAGAGUUUUGAAGAUGUCCUCCUCCAGCUCUGGUGAAGAUGAUGAUGCCCCAAGAUCUCAUGCAUGUUUCUUUGUAUAUGAAUAAAUAUUAAUUCCCCCUCUCUUCAUCAAUCUUGUACACAUGACAGUUGUGUUAAUAUAUCAUCAUCAUCAUUAUAUUUUCUCUUCCGUUUUCCCCCAGUUUUCCCAGCAACCAAUCAGACCAUGCCUAAUCUCUUACUAAAUGCCCUUAACGUGGGCUUUGAUCAUGAUUUGGGUUUUCUCAGCAAAUUCAGUUACAAUGUCAAUGCCGGGAUAGGGUAAAAAAACCCAUUCAAUCCAUCUAUUCAAGCCUAUUUUUCUUUUAUUUUAUUUUUUUAAAAUUUAUUAGUCCAUGAAAAAUCGAAAUUUUCUGUUUGGCUUGUGAAUUAAAAAGACGAAUCCAACCAUAAUAAGUUUCUUUUUUAUACCCCUAAAUAUCACAGAAAUAUAUGUAAAUUAGAUAUUAAUGUCAAUUCCAUAACAUCAAUCUCCAAUGAUUGGGGUAGUUGGUGUCCUGGUUUCAUCCCAGGAUCAGUCUGCGCUUGAGGGAUGAUGAAAAAUAUAAAAUAAUAAAUUUAAAUUUCAUAACAUUUUUACAAGUUUUAAAAGAUUUUCAUUUUUGCUUUUAUGGUUAAAACGCUGGAAUAGAGAAUGAUUUUUUUUUCAUUUAUUUAUUAAUAUAUUUACAUUGUUUUUUAAAAUGAAAAUUGAAAUAAAAAAUUCAUUAAUAUAAAAAUAAAUUUGAAUUCAAAAUUUAAAUAAGGAAGGCUCAUCCAUAAAAGCCUUUGAAAGGUAGGAGACCGACGGUGAAUAAUCCAAAGAGAAAGCAAAUAGUGUCAUUCUUUGGGAGUUUUAAAUUCUCCAAAAAUUACUAAGUUAUGAACACUUGUAAAAACAAUUUUGUAAUCUCGUAGUUUCAAUAAAAACACAAGUUGGGAAGGUUCCCGUAAUUCGCUUGGUUGCCUUUGCAUCUUACGUUUGCUUUUGUUGUGGAUUGGGAAGGUUGGCUAAG
rnacentral:lncRNA from 1 species